GAGGUGGGCCAGACGACCGCGGGGCCGCGCCGCCGCAAGGUGGUCGCGACCAUGAGGAAAGUCCGGGCUCCACAGGGCAGGAUGCCGGCCAACGGCCGGGCGGGGAAACCCGACGGAAAGCGCCGCAGAAAAGAAGACUCCCACCUGCGCCCUCGGGCGCAAAGGGAAAAGCUGAAACGGUGGUGCAAGAGACCACCAGCGUCGUGGCAACACGACGGCUUGGCAAGCCCCAUCCGGAGCAAGCGCAAAUAGGAGCGCCAUGGUGUGGCCCGCACCGCGCUCGGGUUGCGCGCUCGAGGCGACCGGCGACGGUCGCCCUAGAUAAAUGGUCGUCCGCGACAGAACCCGGCUUAUCGGCCCACCUCGCAC
rnacentral:RNase_P_RNA from 1 species